rnacentral:rRNA from 1 species
GUACACGCUGUGACUAGCAUAUCAAUAAGCGGAGGAAAAGAAACUAACAAGGAUUCCCCUAGUAACGGCGAGUGAAGCGGGAAGAGCUCAAAUUUGAAAUCUUAAAGGGUUUCCCUUUACGAAUUGUAGUUUAAAGAAGUGUUUUCUGUUGAGGUUUUGGUAAAAGUUCUUUGGAAUAGGACAUCAUAGAGGGUGAGAAUCCCGUAUUUGACCUUUACUUUCAACUUUGUGAUACACUUUCAAAGAGUCGGAUUGUUUGGGAAUGCAGUCCAAAAUGGGUGGUAAAUUUCAUCUAAAGCUAAAUAUUGGCGAGAGACCGAUAGCGAACAAGUACCGUGAGGGAAAGAUGAAAAGAACUUUGAAAAGAGAGUUAAACAGUACGUGAAAUUGUCAAAAGGGAAGCGUUUGACACCAGUGUUGUUUUUCUGAAAAUCAAUUAAAGAACUGUUUAUGCUAAGUUGUUUAGACUUUAUCAGCUAACUGCUUUAGUUUUGAGCUUUUCUUUAAUGCACUUUUCAGUUAACAAGUCAACAUCAAUUUCUUUUGCUGUAAAAAAGCUUGAGGAAGGUGGCUUGAGAUUCGUCUUAAGUGUUUAUAGCCUCUUGCCUAUGCAGUCGGAGAGAUUGAGGUCUGCAGCGUAGAUCCUUCGGGGCUAAAUGCAUUUGUGCUAAGUUAUAGCAUUUUAUAGACAACUUGUUGACUAUGAUUUGUCUUGUAGCUUACUCGCUUAUGUUAUUUUACCUACGCUUAGGAUGUUGAAGAUGUAGCACAUCAU